AGCACAUUAGCCACCAUGAUUUUUUUUUUUUUUUGAGAUGGAAUUCGCUGUUUCGCCCAGGCUGGAGUGAAGUGGCGCGAUGUGGGCUCACUGCAACCUCCGCCCCCAGGGUUCAAGGGAUUCUCCUGCCUCAGCCACCAUGAUUUAACACUGAGAAGUAGGCAGUCACAGAGAAAAAGUUUGGAAUAGUUCACCAGUGAAGUCAUCUCAACCAGCACAGGGCCUUGACUCCUAACAACAAUCACACGAACUUGGAAGAGGAUCCUUCCCCAGCUGAAACUUCACUUGAGACCUUCUCAUUGGCCAUCAUCGACAUCUGGAUUCAUGAUACAGAGAAACUUGAGUAAUGAUGACAAUAGCAGUCCAGCCUGCAUGGAUGCUGACAUGGAUGCUGUCUCCCAUUCUUACCACUGGAUGUCAAGAACUGCUAGAUGCGAUCCAGCCAGUCUGUACUCGACUCUCAGUUCCAUCUUCUCAACUCACAGUGUCUUCCAAAGUCCAUGCCACACCACAGCCUGGAAGAUCUCCCAAGGCUUUGAAUAACUCACCAGUGAAGUCAUCUUGACCUGGACAGAAAUUGAAUCCUCCCAAGAAUCCCAGGAGCUUGGAAGGGGAUCCUUCCCCAGAUGAGCCUUCCCUUGAAAUCUCUGCCAGGCAUCUGACCCAGAGAAACU
rnacentral:lncRNA from 1 species